rnacentral:rRNA from 1 species
AGGACGAACGCUGGCGGUGUGCUUCACACAUGCAAGUCGAACGGGGUAGCAAUACCCAGUGGCGGACGGGUGAGUAACGCGUAGAAAUCUGCCUUGAGAUGGGGGAUAACAGUCCGAAAGGAUUGCUAAUACCGCAUAUGUAUACAUUCGGACACGGGUGUAUAUGAAAGGAGUAAUCCGUCUUAAGAUGAGUCUGCGUCCGAUUAGCUAGUUGGUAGGGUAAAGGCCUACCAAGGCGACGAUCGGUAGCUGGUCUGAGAGGAUGAUCAGCCACAAUGGGACUGAGACACGGCCCAUACUCCUACGGGAGGCAGCAGUGGGGAAUUUUGUGCAAUGGGGGAAACCCUGACACAGCGACACCGCGUGAACGAAGAAGCCCUUUGGGUGUAAAGUUCUGUCGGCUGGAACGAAAAAAAUGACGGUACCAGCAAAGGAGACAUCGGCUAACUACGUGCCAGCAGCCGC